UCUCUUUCCCUUUUACUGUUUAUGUUGGUGUUAGAUGUAUGUGUGAUAAGUGCCGGGGUUAGUUAGCUUAAAAUGUGUUUGAUGCAUUGAUUCAGAAUUGAUUUGAGUAGAAUAUUCAAGGUCACAAUCAGAUUUAUAUCCAUCUGGGGGUUGUGUGUGUAUUCUGCGACAGAUCUGCAUUGUUUUGAGGUGAAUGGUUGGAUUUUAAUUGACUUUAUGUUUGAUUCUUUGAGAUUGGUGACCGAUGCUACAACUGUAUUUUCUGAAAAAGUCUUGUUUGUGUUUUUCUGCCAUUGGAUGUGAAACUAGUGAUCGGCGAGCUCGAGACUAUCUGUUAGCUUGUGUAUCAAUUGAACUUGAUGAUCUUAGGUUCUUCAAGCAUGUUAUAGGCAUUGAUAAGUUCAGUAGUCAUUUUCCCCUUUAGUGUGAUUUAACUGCCAUUUUAGCGAAUUCGAGUAUAUUGUUACAUGUUGCAAAGUUUCAAUGCUCGUCCUUUGAUUCAUCUUAGCUUGAGUAUGGUAAUUCCCGUUUUAGUGAAUUCGAGUAUAUUGUUACAUGUUGCAAAGUUUCAAUGCUUGUCCUUUGGUUCAUCUUAGCUUGAGUUUGGUAAUUCCCUUUACUUGCUACUUGUUUCAGAGGAGUCACCUGUCGUUCUUUUAAAAAUAGUGUUUAUGCCAGUAAUUAGGCGAAUUUGCUAUUGUCAUUGGAUAUUCAAGGCCGACAACUAGUAAGUUUGGAGUGUCAUUGAUUAAUUUGGUAAUAUGAUCCCGUUGUUUCUAUAAUUGUUCUUCGUGGUUUUAAUUUGCUCGCUCGGUUAUUUGCUUGUGUCACUCGAAUUGGUUGUAGACACGAUGUUGUCCCUAUGUAGAUAUUGGUUUGCUAUUCAUCAACUGAACUACGCAAUUAGAGAAAUGUGUAUAUAUUAAACUCCUUAGAUUUGGGGAUAGCCUGCUUAGCGAAUUUCACGGCCCUCCCAGAAGAUAAUAACGCGCUAGACUCUUUUAGAUGCGAUUCUAAUAAAAUUACAUUCCUAAAUACGGGCGGGCAUUUUAUGAGGCCCAAAUCCAAAUCCUAAAACGUUGAAUAGAGUGCGCCUAGGAUUGCGGGUUCAUUUCAUGCGGUGCAAUCCGAAACACACCUUAGACGAAUUCGGCCCAAAUCCAAAUCUUAAAACGUUGAAUAGAGUGUGAAACUCAAAGGAAUUGACGGGAGGCCCGCACAAGCGGUGGAGCAUGUGGUUUAAUUCGAUGCAAAGCGAAGAACCUUACCAGGGGAGGGCCAAAAUACUUUGAUUUCUUAUGUUUUGCAAACAAGAUCACACCUUAGGCAGCAAACAUGCUAAUUAAAAUCGAUUUAUCAAUAUUAGAAUCUAGAUGAUUAAUACUAAUUAUUCAACAAAUUUGAUGCGGCGCAAUCCGAAAACAUAUUUUAAACGACGUUCACUUUCUUAAAUAAAUAUUAAAUAAAAGCGGUUAAGUAAAAAUUAGCACGUAGGUUCUUCAUGUAAUAAAAUCGGUUAAAGUUAAAUACAACAGUUGAGCGACCUUGCUAGAACCACGGAACCCGGGAAUGCCUAACACCUUCUCCCAGGUUAACACAAUUCCUUAUCCGGAUUUCUGGUUCGCGGACUGUGAACAGAGUCAUCUUUUUCCUCGGUUCGGGAUUNN
rnacentral:lncRNA from 1 species